rnacentral:rRNA from 1 species
GGGUGAGUAACACGUAUGCAACCUGCCCCUGUCAGGGGGACAACCCGCCGAAAGGCGGGCUAAACCCGCGUACAUGCCACCGGGGCAUCCCGGAGGCAGGAAAGGCUUCGGCCGGACAGGGAUGGGCAUGCGGCGCAUUAGGCAGUAGGCGGGGUAACGGCCCACCUAACCGACGAUGCGUAGGGGUUCUGAGAGGAAGGUCCCCCACACUGGUACUGAGACACGGACCAGACUCCUACGGGAGGCAGCAGUGAGGAAUAUUGGUCAAUGGUCAGGAGACUGAACCAGCCAAGCCGCGUGAGGGAUGAAGGUACAGAGUAUCGUAAACCUCUUUUGUCAGGGAACAAAGGCGGGGACGUGUCCCCGGAUGAGUGUACCUGAAGAAAAAGCAUCGGCUAACUCCGUGCCAGCAGCCGCGGUAAUACGGAGGAUGCGAGCGUUAUCCGGAUUUAUUGGGUUUAAAGGGUGCGCAGGCGGUCUGUUAAGUCAGCGGUCAAAGCCCGGGGCUCAACCCCGGCCCGCCGUUGAAACUGGCAGUCUCGAGUUGGAGAGAAGUAUGCGGAAUGCGCGGUGUAGCGGUGAAAUGCAUAGAUAUCGCGCAGAACUCCGAUUGCGAAGGCAGCAUGCCGGCUCCACACUGACGCUGAGGCACGAAAGCGUGGGUAUCGAACAGGAUUAGAUACCCUGGUAGUCCACGCAGUAAACGAU